rnacentral:rRNA from 1 species
GAUUGWUCMRGCACACCCUGAAGCUGAACCGGUCCAGAACCUACGAGCAGCAUGGAAUAUGCCAUGCGAAGCCUGAUGCAGCAUGCGCGGKUAUGAAGAGGCUUCGGUUGCAAGUACUUCAGUGUGAGGAAGGGUGKGUAGUAUAGCUGCGCAUCUGACGUUAGCACAGAGAGCACCGGCUAACUCCGUGCCAGCAGCCGCGGUAAUACGGAGGGGUGCGAGGCGUUAAUCGGAAUUACUGGGCGUAAAGCGCAUGCAGGUGGUUCAUUAAGUCAGAUGUGAAAGCCCGGGGCUCAACCUCGGAACUGCAUUUGAAACUGGUGAACUAGAGUGCUGUAGAGGGGGGUAGAAUUUCAGGUGUAGCGGUGAAAUGCGUAGAGAUCUGAAGGAAUACCAGUGGCGAAGGCGGCCCCCUGGACAGACACUGACACUCAGAUGCGAAAGCGUGGGGAGCAAACAGGAUUAGAUACCCUGGUAGUCCACGCCGUAAACGAUGUCUACUUGGAGGUUGUGGCCUUGAGCCGUGGCUUUCGGAGCUAACGCGUUAAGUAGACCGCCUGGGGAGUACGGUCGCAAGAUUAAAACUCAAAUGAAUUGACGGGGGCCCGCACAAGCGGUGGAGCAUGUGGUUUAAUUCGAUGCAACGCGAAGAACCUUACCUACUCUUGACAUCCAGAGAAGCCAGCGGAGACGCAGGUGUGCCUUCGGGAACUCUGAGACAGGUGCUGCAUGGCUGUCGUCAGCUCGUGUUGUGAAAUGUUGGGUUAAGUCCCGCAACGAGCGCAACCCUUAUCCUUGUUUGCCAGCGAGUAAUGUCGGGAACUCCAGGGAGACUGCCGGUGAUAAACCGGAGGAAGGUGGGGACGACGUCAAGUCAUCAUGGCCCUUACGAGUAGGGCUACACACGUGCUACAAUGGCGCAUACAGAGGGCAGCAAGCUAGCGAUAGUGAGCGAAUCCCAAAAAGUGCGUCGUAGUCCGGAUUGGAGUCUGCAACUCGACUCCAUGAAGUCGGAAUCGCUAGUAAUCGUGAAUCAGAAUGUCACGGUGAAUACGUUCCCGGGCCUUGUACACACCGCCCGUCACACCAUGGGAGUGGGCUGCAAAAGAAGUGGGUAGUUUAACCUUUCGAGGAGGACGCUCACCACUUUGUGGUUCAUGACUGGGGUGAAGUCGUAACAAGGUAACCAAAGGGCGAAUCGCGCCGCYWUU